AUGACAAAUUCGAUACAAGCCUCAAGUACUAGUCCAGUUUGGAGUACCAUUUGGAAACUACGUGUGCCUUCAAAAGUGAAAAUUCAUGUGUGGAAAACUUUGCUUGGAGCUCUUCCAUGCCAAGGAGUCUUAGCGAACAGACAUAUAGUUUCGUGUUCUCAAUGCCCCUUAUGCAGUUCAGAUUGUGAAAGCAUCUGGCAUGCUUUAUUCUUGUGCCCUCAAGUACAGGAGGUGUGGCAUUUGCUAGGUAUGGCAGCGGUGGUGAAUGAUGUGUGCAUGGUGGAAAGAGAGGGUGGCUCGGUGAUGGCUGACCUCCUUUUGUCUAAGAAUCCAACUAAGUCAUUGGUUAAUGAUGUUCACCGUAAUGACCUUGUUGCCACGGCUGUGUGGUACUUGUGGUGGGAACGACGCAGAUAUACACACGGCGAGCAACUGUAUGAGCCAACCAGAUCGAAGCAAGCAAUAUCGGCACUCGCAAAAAAUUACUCAAGAGCGAAAUUCAAGCAGAACAGAAUUAGGAGACAUGGCUGGGAGAAACCACCAGAGGGCACAAUCAAGCUGAAUGUGGAUGCAAGUUUCGACAUUGCCAGUGGCACUGGCGCUAGAGGUGCUAUACUUCGAGACCACUCCGGUUUAUUUGUGGCGGCAUCUUGCAGCAAUAUCCCUUUUGUUUAA
rnacentral:rRNA from 1 species